rnacentral:lncRNA from 1 species
AUCAGAGGAGCCUGAGCGUAAUGUUAAUGUUCUGAGUGCUUCUGAAGUGACAGGAAGUGGUGCAUAUGCCCAGGGACAAAGCCAAGUUGAGGAGCAGAACCACAGUAGCUUGAGGAAGGAAUAGGUGAGAGUAGUGAUCCACCUGCCUCGGCCUCCCAAAGUGCUGGGAUUACAGGCGUGAGCCACCGCGUCCAGCCAAUUGGUGGGUUCCUGGUCUCACUGACUUCAAGAAUGAAGCCACGGACCCUCGCAGUGAGUGUUACAGUUCUUAAAGAUGGUGUGUUCAGAAUUUGUUCCUUCUGAUGUUCGGACGUGUAUGGAGUUUCUUCAUUCUGGUGGGUUCGUGGUCUCUCUGGCUUCAGGAAUGAAGCUGUAGAACUCUGCGAUGCUGUUACGAACUUCCCUUAGAAUCAACCCAUUUGUGAAACACCACAUUAAUAAGAGCAGUAUCUUUGGAGAUUGGAGAGUCCACCAAGGAUGCCCACUGGCUCCCUACAAAGUUUUUUAUGUGAGGACUCGGUCUCAGAUAUGGCUACUGGGAUUCUGUUCAAACUGAGUGAAGACAUCAUCAUCUUUCUUUGAGAUCUUCCUUGCUUUCUGGCCAAAGAAGUUAUUCCCUGACCCGACUUUCCAAAGAGUACUAGUUCCUUUUAGCAGUGAUUAGAAACCUGAUCUGAGUACUACUGUGUGUGCUUGUGACUAGUGUGGUUUUAUUGUUUCUAUGUCCUUUCAGCGAGCAGAUCUACAAUGAGGGAUACAUCUAAACAAAACUCCAUAUUAAUAAGUCCAGUUGAAAUCUAACAACAUAGGGUUCUUUCGCAUUCUCUUGCAUUCCAUAUUUGUAUAUUCGUUCACCCAUGGUGGCAACCCUGGCUAUUAGAAAUAUAAUUGUAUUUAUUUUGCUGUAUCCUACAAUAAAACAAAAAAAUUAAGAAUUACUAUACCAACAUCAUGAUAAAAAUACACAUACUAAGUAAAUCUGUUAUGUAAACUACAAGUGUGUUUGUAGCAUUUUUGUUUUUACACUAUAGCCUACUAAGUGUGCAAUUAGACUUCUUGCUCACUGGUUUCUGUUUACUUUUAAUUUUAGUAUUUACUCUUGUUUCC